rnacentral:SRP_RNA from 1 species
UUGGAAGAGACCCUUAGAACAGCUGGUCAUUAUGCAGAUGGGGUGUCUGCACUAAGUUCGGCAUCAAUAUGGUGACCUGGGAGUGGGGGACCACCAGGUUGCGUAAGGAUGGGUAAACUGGCCCAGGUCAGAAAUGGAGCAGGUCAGAACUCCCAGGUCGAUAGGUAGUGGGACUGUGCCUGGGCAACAUAGCGGGACCUUGGCUUUUUAAAAA